AUUAUAGCAAAGAGGAUACACCUGUUCCCAUUCCGAACACAGAAGUUAAGCUCUUGAGCGGCGAUGGUACUUGGGGGCGACUCCCUGGGAGAGUAGC
rnacentral:rRNA from 1 species